rnacentral:rRNA from 1 species
CCUACGGGUGGCAGCAGUGGGGAAUAUUGGACAAUGGGGGGAACCCUGAUCCAGCCAUGCCGCGUGUGUGAAGAAGGCCCUCGGGUUGUAAAGCACUUUCAGUGAGGAAGAACGCCUGGUGGUUAAUACCCAUCAGGAAAGACAUCACUCACAGAAGAAGCACCGGCUAACUCCGUGCCAGCAGCCGCGGUAAUACGGAGGGUGCGCGCGUUAAUCGGAAUUACUGGGCGUAAAGCGCGCGUAGGUGGCUUGAUAAGCCGGUUGUGAAAGCCCCGGGCUCAACCUGGGAACGGCAUCCGGAACUGUCAAGCUAGAGUGCAGGAGAGGAAGGUAGAAUUCCCGGUGUAGCGGUGAAAUGCGUAGAGAUCGGGAGGAAUACCAGUGGCGAAGGCGGCCUUCUGGACUGACACUGACACUGAGGUGCGAAAGCGUGGGUAGCAAACAGGAUUAGAUACCCGGGUAGUC